AUGAUUCCUCGGGAGCCUCGGGAACCAGAAACAGAAGACAAGAAGAAGGAAAGAGUCGCAGCCAGUGCUCCUCUCACCUAGAUUGCAUGGAACUCUGGUUCUUGCCCUGAGGAAGAUAAUGAGGAUGAGGUCAAGACAUAUGCUCGUGUCUACAUGUGGUAUGUUAUAUCCAGGACUAUGUUUGCUGAUGGCACAGGCAAGAAUGCUCCAUGGAUGUGGUUGAAGGCGUUGACUGUCUUCGAUAGCAAAUGGAGUUGGGUUUCGGCGACACUGGCUUACUUAUAUAGACAGGUAGGUAGUUGUUUAUUUUUACUUCAUUUGUACAUUAUCAAUGCGAUCUUCCUGUUAAUUGAACCGUGUUUUCUUCUAUGUGAAGUUGGAUGA
rnacentral:rRNA from 1 species